GACGAACGCUGGCGGCGUGCUUAACACAUGCAAGUCGAACGGAAAGGCCCUGCUUUUGUGGGGUGCUCGAGUGGCGAACGGGUGAGUAACACGUGAGUAACCUGCCCUUGACUUUGGGAUAACUUCAGGAAACUGGGGCUAAUACCGGAUAGGAGCUCCUGCUGCAUGGUGGGGGUUGGAAAGUUUCGGCGGUUGGGGAUGGACUCGCGGCUUAUCAGCUUGUUGGUGGGGUAGUGGCUUACCAAGGCUUUGACGGGUAGCCGGCCUGAGAGGGUGACCGGCCACAUUGGGACUGAGAUACGGCCCAGACUCCUACGGGAGGCAGCAGUGGGGAAUAUUGCGCAAUGGGCGGAAGCCUGAUGCAGUAACGCCGCGUGCGGGAUGACGGCCUUCGGGUUGUAAACCGCUUUCGCCUGUGACGAAGCGUGAGUGACGGUAAUGGGUAAAGAAGCACCGGCUAACUACGUG
rnacentral:rRNA from 1 species